rnacentral:rRNA from 1 species
CUGACCGAUAGUGAACCAGUACCGUGAGGGAAAGGCGAAAAGAACCCCGGCGAGGGGAGUGAAAAAGAACCUGAAACCGUGUACGUACAAGCAGUGGGAGCACGCUUCGGCGUGUGACUGCGUACCUUUUGUAUAAUGGGUCAGCGACUUAUAUUCUGUAGCAAGGUUAACCGAAUAGGGGAGCCGAAGGGAAACCGAGUCUUAACUGGGCGUUAAGUUGCAGGGUAUAGACCCGAAACCCGGUGAUCUAGCCAUGGGCAGGUUGAAGGUUGGGUAACACUAACUGGAGGACCGAACCGACUAAUGUUGAAAAAUUAGCGGAUGACUUGUGGCUGGGGGUGAAAGGCCAAUCAAACCGGGAGAUAGCUGGUUCUCCCCGAAAGCU